AGUGAACGCUGGCGGUAGGCCUAACACAUGCAAGUCGAACGGCAGCACAGUAAGAGCUUGCUCUUACGGGUGGCGAGUGGCGGACGGGUGAGGAAUACAUCGGAAUCUACUUUUUCGUGGGGGAUAACGUAGGGAAACUUACGCUAAUACCGCAUACGACCUACGGGUGAAAGCAGGGGAUCUUCGGACCUUGCGCGAUUGAAUGAGCCGAUGUCGGAUUAGCUAGUUGGCGGGGUAAAGGCCCACCAAGGCGACGAUCCGUAGCUGGUCUGAGAGGAGGGUCAGCCACACGGGAACUGAGACACGGUCCAGACUCCUACGGGAGGCAGCAGUGGGGAAUAUUGGACAAUGGGCGCAAGCCUGAUCCAGCCAUACCGCGUGGGUGAAGAAAGCCUUCGGGUUGUAAAGCCCUUUUGUUGGGAAAGAAAAGCAGCAGGUUAAUACCCCGCUGUUCUGACGGUACCCAAAGAAUAAGCACCGGCUAACUUCGUG
rnacentral:rRNA from 1 species